rnacentral:lncRNA from 1 species
AUUCCUCUAAUUUAAAUUUCACUUUUAAAUUUUAAGUACUUAAUUUUUAAAAUUUAAAUUCAUCGUAUUUAGAAAUAAAACUAUUUCUAAAAUUUCUAUAAUUUAAAUUAAUGCAUAAUUUUAGAAACACUAAAACAUUUAAAGUAGAUGUCUAAAUUAAUGCCUAAUAAUUGCAUAAAUUUGGUUAAUCAAUUAAUUUCCUAAAUUAGUGCUAAUUAGUGCGUAAAUUUAGGACCUCAAUUGAAAGUUUCUUUAAAUGUUGUAUUGUUUAAUUACCAAACUAACCUUGAAUAAAAUAAUCUUUUUACCUGCUAAGUAUUAAAAUUACAUUUUUACCCUCUAUUAAUCAACGGUUAAGAUCUUUUUUAUUUUUUUUUUAAAAAAAGUACCGAAUCAUUUCUCU